rfam:Astyanax mexicanus Tnplaced_Scaffold4549, whole genome shotgun sequence.
GGCAUUGUGGCCAAAUGGCAAGGUGUCGAUCUCGUAAACCGACGAUCACAGCCUUGAUCCCUUUCCGUGCCU